rfam:Eucalyptus grandis cultivar BRASTZ1 unplaced genomic scaffold scaffold_8, whole genome shotgun sequence.
GUGCAUUUGAUCAAAUACUCGGAUUCCCCUUCAAGAUAGUUUGGGUGAUGCAUUCUCGAGUUUUUGAUGCA